rnacentral:rRNA from 1 species
ACCCAUGAAGGGUGUUGGUUGCUUAAGACAGCAGGACGGUGGCCAUGGAAGACGGAAUCCGCUAAGGAGUGUGUAACAACUCACCUGCCGAAGCAACUAGCCCCGAAAAUGGAUGGCGCUCUAGCGUCGCGCCUAUCCCCGGCCGUCGCUGGCAGAAAAGCACGAAAUGUGGGGGUGCUAAGCCGCGACGAGUAGGAGGGCCGCAGCGGUGUGCGUUGAAGGUGUCGGGCGUGAGCCCGCCUGGAGCCGCCGCUGGUGCAGAUCUUGGUGGUAGUAGCAAAUACUCAAGUGAGAACCUUGAGGACUGAAGUGGAGAAGGGUUCCAUGUGAACAGCAGUUGAACAUGGGUCAGUCGGUCCUUAGGGAAAGGAGAAAUCCUUUCAGAAGCGGGCGCGUUUGUGCAGCUCAGUCUGUGAUACGGAGACGCCCCGCUGCAACCAAAAGGGAAUCGGGUUAACAGUCCCGAACCCGGCUACGGAGAUCGGCUCUUCGGAGCCCAGUGCGGCAACGCAAACCAGCUCGGAGACGCCGAUGGGAGCCCCGGGAAGAGUUUUCUUUUCUCUGUAAGGAGAUCGAGUCCCUGGAAUGGGUUCACCCCGAGAUAGGGACGGUGGCUCCGUAGAGCAGUGCGGCUCUUGCGCUGUCCGGUGCGCUCCUGUCGGCCCUUGAAAAUCCGAGUGAGGGAGUGUGAUUUUCGUGCCGGACCGUACCCACAUCCGCAGCAGGUCUCCAAGGUGAACAGCCUAGAGUCGAUAGACCAAUGUAGGUAAGGGAAGUCGGCAAAACGGAUCCGUAACCUUGGGAAAAGGAUUGGCUCUGAGGGCUGAGCCGGUCGGGCUGGGGUCCAGAAGCAGGAACGGCACUGCACCGGGACUGGGCGAGGCUCGCCGCCGUAAAAAGCGGUGCGGCCGAGCCCGGACCAGCGUCGGGACCUUCCUGUGGAAAGCCACAGCUGUGCAUUUUCCGUGGGCUUCGCGCCUGAGGUUCUUGCUUCGGCCGGCAGAAAACAGCCAACUCAGAACUGGCACGGACCGGGGGAAUCCGACUGUCUAAUUAAAACAAAGCAUUGCGAGGGCCGUUGAUCGGUGCUGACGCAAUGUGAUUUCUGCCCAGUGCUCUGAACGUCAAAGUGAAGAAAUUCAAAAAAGCGGCGGGAGUAACUAUGACUCUCUUAUGGUAGCCAAAUGCCUCGUCAUCUAAUUAGUGACGCGCAUGAAUGGAUUAACGAGAUUCCCACUGUCCCUAUCUACUAAAAACAUAAUCUGGGGAGGGGAAACAACAAAUCAAAGAGGCAUAGAAGUUUUAGAAUUUAUCAAUAGAAACAACCUUACUGUUUUAAAUGACCCACAGUCAUUACCAACUUUUCAAUCCUCGAAUGGCAGAAUCUGGAUAGACCUUUCUAUAAGCUCGAUUCCCUUGGGUAAAACAUUCUUAAUUGGGAGGUAUUAGAGGAGGACAGCCUUAGCGACCAUCGCUUCAUUAAAAUUGAACUUUUCAAGGUCAAAACCAAGAGGGAAAAAAGAUUAACAAAAAUGGGGGAAAAGAAAGUAUUAGAGGAGCUACGAGAAGACAGAUGGCUUCGAACCACGGCCCAGAGGACAAUAGAAAAUAGGAACCAGCUGGAAACCAUAGUAAACCUAUUCUACGAAAGAUGAGCUUGAAAAGAAACAUUCAAAACAUGUUAGCAAUGAUGACAAGAAGCAGAAAGCGUGGUGGAAUGCAGAAUUAGAACUAAAAAGGAAAAAAGUAAGAGCUUUACGGAGAAGGUACCAAAGGUGUUCAAACGAGCUCAGAGAGG